rnacentral:rRNA from 1 species
UACGAAGGGGGCUAGCGUUGCUCGGAAUCACUGGGCGUAAAGCGCACGUAGGCGGCUUCUUAAGUCAGGGGGUGAAAUCCUGGAGCUCAACUCCAGAACUGCCUUUGAUACUGAGGAGCUUGAGUCCGGGAGAGGUGAGUGGAACUGCGAGUGUAGAGGUGAAAUUCGUAGAUAUUCGCAAGAACACCAGUGGCGAAGGCGGCUCACUGGCCCGGUACUGACGCUGAGGUGCGAAAGCGUGGGGAGCGAACAGG